rnacentral:rRNA from 1 species
UAGGGAAUAUUGCGCAAUGGGGGAAACCCUGACGCAGCAACGCCGCGUGAGUGAGGAAGGUCUUCGGAUUGUAAAACUCUUUUAUCAGGGAAAAAUGGUCAUGGAGCUAAUACCCCAUGAUUUGAUGGUACCUGAGGAAUAAGCACCGGCUAACUUCGUGCCAGCAGCCGCGGUAAUACGAAGGGUGCAAGCGUUGUUCGGAAUCAUUGGGCGUAAAGCGCGCGCAGGCGGAUCAGCAAGUCAGAUGUGAAAUCUCGGAGCUCAACUCCGAAACUGCGUCUGAAACUGCUAGUCUAGAAUGUCGGAGGGGGCAGGGGAAUUUCACGUGUAGGGGUAAAAUCCGUAGAGAUGUGAAGGAACACCGGAGGCGAAGGCGCCUGCCUGGACGACUAUUGACGCUGAGGCGCGAAAGCGUGGGGAGCAAACA